UGGUCUUGGUAAGGAUGUUAGAAGC
rnacentral:piRNA from 1 species